GACGAACGCUGGCGGCGUGCCUAAUACAUGCAAGUCGAACGCAGUGGGGACGGGUGAGUAACACGUUGGUAACCUCCCAUCAGAGGGGAUAACACUUGGAAACAGGUGCUAAACCGAUACUGAUGUAUGGACCCGCGGUGCAUUAGCUAGUUGGUGGGGUAACGGAUCACCAAGGCCACGAUGCAUAGCCGACCUGAGAGGGUGAUGGGCGACACGGGGACUGAGACACGGACCAGAGUCCUACGGGAGGCAGAAGUAGGGAAUAUUCGGCAAUGGACGAAAGUCUGACCGAGCAACGCGGCGAGAGUGAAGAAGGUGUGAGGAUCGUAAAACUCUGUUGUUAGAGAAGCGGUAUCUAACCAGAAAGCCACGGCUAACUACGUGCCAGCCGCCGCGGUAAUUC
rnacentral:rRNA from 1 species